rnacentral:SRP_RNA from 1 species
GGCUUGGCCCUGCGCAACGAGGCCUUGGUGAACCCCGUCAGGUCCGGAAGGAAGCAGCGGUAGCCGGGAGCCUCGUGUGCCGCAGGUCGCCGAGUCGCC